rnacentral:lncRNA from 1 species
CAAAGAAUUCUGAAAUUGUUUUAAUUUCUUUUGAUCAGACUAACCAAUUUGUUGGUCAACAUCCAAUCCAAUUGAGAUUUUUCUUCCACAGGAAAACAAAAUCAAAAGUGCAGUAUACUACUAAUCCAGUAUUUUUUUUUAUAACAUGCUCUUCUCUUGUCCCCAAAGUUCCUACAGCAAUCAAUCAAUCAUCAUCAUGCUUGCUUCUUCUACAAAACUCCCCAAAGCUAAUGUUUCACCACAACCAUCAAUUCCUUCAUCACAAUGGCUAGUUUGCAG